ACUGAAUAGAUACCCUGGUAGUCCACGCCCUAAACGAUGUCUACUAGUUGUUGGUGGAGUAAAAUCCAUGAGUAAACGCAGCUAACGCGUGAAGUAGACCGCCUGGGGAGUACGGUCGCAAGAUUAAAACUCAAAGGAAUUGACGGGGGCCGCACAAGCGGUGGAUUAUGUGGAUUAAUUCGAUGCAACGCGAAAACCUUAACCUGGCCUUGACAUGCCACUAACGAAGCAGAGAUGCAUUAGGUGCCCGUAACGGGAAAGUGGACACAGGUGCUGCAUGGCUGUCGUCAGCUCGUGUCGUGAGAUGUUGGGUUAAGUCCCGCAACGAGCGCAACCCUUGCCAUUAAUUGCCAUCAUUUAGUUGAGCACUUUAAUGGGACUGCCGGUGACAAACCGGAGGAAGGUGGGGAUGACGUCAAGUCCUCAUGGCCCUUAUGGCCAGGGCUUCACACGUAAUACAAUGGUCGGUACAGAGAGUUGCCAACCCGCGAGGGGUAGCUAAUCUCAGAAAGCCGAUCGUAGUCCGGAUUGUUCU
rnacentral:rRNA from 1 species